UGGGACUUUGUCUGCUGCAGCCAAGCCGAAUGUCAAUCUGACCAGGAGGCCUGUUGAGCGUCCCUCCAGCCCUGCCACUGUCCCGUCUGGGAGAAGCACUCCAUCCGCUACCCCACCUCGAGUGACGCCCCCUUCCAGUCCCAGAUUCUACAGGCCUGUCUCCCCUUUCUCUCUGCCUCCAUCCAGCCCCAUCAUGUCGGCGGCGAGGACCAGCUCUUCUCCUCUGGUUGAAUCAGAUACGAGUCCUGCUCCUCCAGGUCUCCUCCCUGCUCCUCCAGGUCUCCUCCCUGCUCCUCCAGGUCCCCUCCCUGCUCCUCCUGGUCCCCUCCCUGCUCCUCCUGGUCCCCUCCCUGCUCCUCCUCUUGCUGCUCAGUUCUGGCUGCCGGUGGAAAUGAGGAAGACCAUUCCCCAGCAGGACCAGCGCUGGAUUGCAUCCACGCUGUGGAGGAACCAGCGGCUGCGACCGGACGUCCAGCUCUGGUAUGAGCCACCUGUUCCUGCCCUCAUCUACAACCAGGUCCCAUCACCAGACCGCUUUUUU
ensembl:lncRNA